rnacentral:rRNA from 1 species
CUAAUACCGUAUGUGCCCUACGGGGGAAAGAUUUAUCGCCUUAGGAGCGGCCGCGUUGGAUUAGCUAGUUGGUGGGGUAAAGGCCUACCAAGGCUACGAUCCAUAGCUGGUCUGAGAGGAUGAUCAGCCACACUGGGACUGAGACACGGCCCAGACUCCUACGGGAGGCAGCAGUAGGGAAUCUUGCGCAAUGGGCGAAAGCCUGACGCAGCCAUGCCGCGUGAAUGAUGAAGGUCUUAGGAUUGUAAAAUUCUUUCACCGGGGAAGAUAAUGACGGUACCCGGAGAAGAAGCCCCGGCUAACUUCGUGCCAGCAGCCGCGGUAAUACGAAGGGGGCUAGCGUUGCUCGGAACUACUGGGCGUAAAGGGCGCGUAGGCGGACAGUUUAGUCAGAGGUGAAAGCCCAGGGCUCAACCUUGGAAUUGCCUUUGAUACUGGCUGUCUUGAGUUCGGGAGAGGUGAGUGGAAUGCCGAGUGUAGAGGUGUAAUUCGUAGAUAUUCGGCGGAACACCAGUGGCGAAGGCGACUCACUGGCCCGACACUGACGCUGAGGCGCGAAAGCGUGGGGAGCAAACA